GAUAUAUUGAGUCACUGCAAAGUGGCUCCCUUGUGAAAUAAAAAAUGUGUAAAGGAAGUGGCAGAAGAAAAAGAAUAAGGAUUAACUGAGGGAGAGAACUUGAGGCUAUAAUGAAUUCUCAAUUCCAUUGUAUGUUAACCAAAAUAUGUCUCAUUUUAAGCAGAGGAAUUUUAAUAAUUCUUGGUGGGCUCAAAGAAAUAUGUGGCUUACAUUUAGGGACCAUAUCAUAAAACGAUGCUUACUUUGUCAUUUUAGGGUCAUAGCUGGUGAAACUUGAAGAAAUGGAGGUAGAUAGGAAAAAGAGAGUGACUGGUCUCAUGUUACAUUUACUUCUAGGAUGUGCUCAUUGUGUGAACGAUAGCUGGGAUCUCCUGCCAUAAGUGAAUUUGUGGUCCAUGUCUUGACUUUGUCAAGUGUGUCUGGUGAAUCUGAGUUAAGUGCACUGUGAUGGGAUGAUGCUUUUUGCCAUUUUAUUUGCUCAUUCAUUCAACAUGUACCAUCAGCUAGUAGAGCAGAGGGUAUUGCUGAGGAAGUGAAAUGAAUAUGGUGUGAUUUCUGCUCUUAAAGAAUUUAACUGUCCAAUGGGGAGAUAAAACACAUACAUAUUUUGGUAUAUGUCAUAUUUGAAGGUGGACAUUAUCAUCUGAGUUCAGAAAAGGGAGAUUCCUCUGGUCAAGGAAAGACUUGACCAGAGGAAAGACUUCAUGGGGGAAGUGGUAUUUUCCCUGGGUCUAUUCUGAAGGGUAGGGGUUGAAGAUGUUGGGAAAGGUGGGAAAUAACUUUCUAGACAGGUAGAUUGGGGGGAAGGUACAGAAUGUAGGUAAACUUCAGACUUUAUUGGGAAAUAGCAAAUUUUAAUCAUGAAUGGGAGAUAUCCACCUCUAAUCAGAACUGAGUAAAGGGAUGUUUUGCAUUUCCACCUGAAACAACUAGUAAGUAGGACCUAAUACAUAAAACAGUAGUUCUUAAGACAUCAAACAUCAGGUGAUAAAGGAGAGUAGACCUUGAAAGAUGGGUAACCAAUGAGGUGCUCUCUAUAAUUGUCUCAGAUUCCUGCCAAGAAAGAGUUUCCAGGAUGUGCUGAAGAGAGAGGUACUCAGGCUGAGUCUGAGAGUCUCCUGAAGUGAAGGAGAUGGAUCUGCGAGUUCUGGGAGCCUAUGAGGGGUAGGGUUCUCAGGGAAGAGUACUAGAAAGGAGAAGGCUGCACAGAGAAAAAAUUCUGAAGUUCCAUAGAAAUAACCCUUAAAUAUUCAGAAGAGAGCUGAUCUGGGCAUGUGUGUAAGGGAACUGUCAUGGCUGGAAAGGAUCCACCCUAAAAGGUCAGAAGAUGUUAGGAGCUAUUUGAGGGCAGAGAAUAGUGCCUGUUCCCAAAAGCCUGUCCCCAUAAAUCAUGGGGUCUGGGAUAAAUACUCAGAAGGAUCUCACCCCAGUAAUAGGGCAAAAUGAACUUUAGACCACUUAUUGCUCUGGCUUUGCCAAGCAAAGUUUAGAUGUAAGAUCCAAAGGUUCAAAACGCUACCAAGAGACUUAACUAUAUCCCAGAAUAAAGUUCAAGAAUAUUUGUAGAGAUACAAAAAUAUUCAACAUCCAAUAAGGUAAAGUUGGCAACUUUUCCUCUGUUCUACUAGAACUAUCCAUUCAUCUUUCUCCAUUUUCUCUCUGACUCAGAAUGGUUCUAGCUUCUAAGUCCUGUAGGCACUUGGCCCAAGGAAGCCAAGGACUGAUGUAAAUGGCUUAUUUUUAGAAAUGGUGACCCAGACCAUUUCUCUGGUGGAUACAUUCCCUGGUUAAUGAAAUGGAUUAACAUUCUCUUGGCUUCUGUUGUCCUGCAGAAUUUUAUAAGAAGCUGACCCACGGAAGUAGUGUACUCUGACCAUGUUCCAGAAAAGGAACAUUUAAUUUAGUGAUUUAUUGGUCUUGGGGAUGGAGGAUGCUCUGGUAUGGCAUUCUCAUUUCCUUUUAUUAUUCUAAUUUUACAAGCCUGCAGUCCAUCUGUCUUCACAAGAAAAACUUAAUGUAGAAGCCCAAACAAUUAGGAAGCAAUGAAGAUCUUGGAAAAAAACAGCUAUCAGUAAAACACAGGAGAGGCAGCGCUUGUAAAACUGAAAUGAAUCUGAAUCAGCAAGCCCGCAGAUGUGUGCUCUUCAGUCCUAAGGAUACUACUUAGCUACUUUACAGACUUGUAGGCAAUUUAUUUUGAAAAUAUUAUGAAAGACAGAGGAGUUCAAGAUAUUUUUAAAUAAGAUGGUUCUUGGCAGGUAGUUUCUAAUAAAUCUAACUAUAUUGACUAUGAGGACACAUGAGCAGAUAAAAAAGAGGGGAGGAAGUACAGAAGAGUGGUUAGAGCACAGAUCAUGGUAAGUCUAGCCUUGCGUUGAGUCCUUGUACUGUCAUGUACUGGCUGUGUGAUCUUGGCCAGUUUACUUAACCUUCCUGAGCCUCAAUCUCCUUUUCUGUAAAAUGAAGACAAUAGCAUCUAACUCAGAGUACUGUUGUUAUAAAGAUUCAAAGAGGAACCAGAAAUACAGCACUCAGAGGGAGUCCUCUCAUUAAUGUUCUCUAUUAAUAAUUAAUAAAGGGAGUUCCCAUUGCGACACAGUGGAAACCAAUCUGACUAGGAACCAUGAGGUUGCGGGUUCUAUCCCUGGCCUUGCUCAGUGGGUUACGGAUCCAGCGUUGCCGUGAGCUGUGGUGUAGGUCACAGAUGCAGCUCAGAUCCUGCAUUGCUGUGGCUCUGGCGUAGGCCGGUGGCUACAGCUCUGAUUAGACCCCUAGCCUGGGAACCUCCAUAUGCUGCAAGUGUGACCCUAAAAAAAAAUUAAUAAAAGAGAAAUCAUACAAGUCCAUAUGCAUUGAUAUUUUUGCAUGAAAUUAUAAUAAUAAAAGAUAAAGGGCCUAAAAUAGUGUAUCAUGUGGUUUUACUGACCUUGAACUUUUCAAAUUCUCUGGGAAUCUGGCUUGUUACCUGCACCAUUGUAGAUAAGCCAGAAGGGGAAAGCCUGGUGGAAAUGCUUUCCUCAAAUUCUCGUUGCUUUGAUUUAAAUUUUCCAUCUUAAAAUGCACCCUAAUGUGAGUUGAGCAGGUAUAUGGCCCAUGCUAUUGGCCAAGUAGAGCUCCAGGACCUCAGCGAUGCUUGUUAGGACUUGAUAUUUAAGAGAAACAGUGGUACAUGAGGAAUGUGUCAUCACUGGUGCGAUAUUGAUCUUUCAAAAGUAAUUCUAACCUAGAUUAGAACUAUGGGGACGUGGUGAUGUGAGACUUCCACUGAACAAACACGUCUGGACUACUGCCUCAACAAAAAUUCAGAGUGUACUCUUUCCUGAGAAAG
rnacentral:lncRNA from 1 species